rnacentral:rRNA from 1 species
CAGUAGCCGCGGUAAUACGAAGGGUGCAAGCGUUAAUCGGAAUUACUGGACGUAAAGCGUGCGUAGGCGGUGAGUUAAGUCUGCUGUGAAAUCCCCGGGCUCAACCUGGGAAUGGCAGUGGAUACUGGCUCGCUAGAGUGUGUCAGAGGAUGGUGGAAUUCCCGGUGUAGCGGUGAAAUGCGUAGAGAUCGGGAGGAACAUCAGUGGCGAAGGCGGCCAUCUGGGACAACACUGACGCUGAGGCACGAAAGCGUGGGGAGCAAACAGGAUUAGAUACCCCCGUAGUCCCUGUCUCUUAUAC